UGGAAACACCCUGGAAGAAUUCCUAAG
rnacentral:piRNA from 1 species